rnacentral:rRNA from 1 species
GAAUUUUGGACAAUGGGCGCAAGCCUGAUCCAGCCAUGCCGCGUGCGGGAAGAAGGCCUUCGGGUUGUAAACCGCUUUUGUCAGGGAAGAAACGCUCUGGAAUAAUACUCCGGGGUAAUGACGGUACCUGAAGAAUAAGCACCGGCUAACUACGAGCCACCAGCCGCGGUAAUACGUAGGGUGCAAGCGUUAAUCGGAAUUACUGGGCGUAAAGCGUGCGCAGGCGGUCGUAAAAGACAGAUGUGAAAUCCCCGGGCUUAACCUGGGAACUGCAUUUGUGACUGUACGGCUGGAGUGCGGCAGAGGGGGAUGGAAUUCCGCGUGUAGCAGUGAAAUGCGUAGAUAUGCGGAGGAACACCGAUGGCGAAGGCAAUCCCCUGGGCCUGCACUGACGCUCAUGCACGAAAGCGUGGGGAGCAAACAGG